UAUUGGUCAAUAGCCUAACGGCUGAACCAGCAACUUGGAGGAAUGUAUAGGGAAAACUGGUAAAAUGUGAUGUACCUAGUAAUAUUAGUAAUAAAUAUGAGAUUAACUAAGUUAAUUAAAAUUCUAAGUAGAUAUGUGAUUAUGACAAUAUCUACAUAGGUCUUGACCAAGUCACGUGCCAGCAGUCGCGGUAAUACGUGGAAGACGAGUGUUAUUCAUCUUUAUUGGGUUUAAAGGGUACCUAGACAGUUAAUUAAGCAAUAAAAUGUACUAAUUAACUAGAGUUUAAUGUAAGAAGGAUUGAGUACGGUGAGAGUAGAGAUAAAAUUUUUUGAUACCACUUAGGAACUGGUAACAGCGAAGGCUACUUCAAUGUAAAAACUGACGUUAAGGGACGAAGGCUUGUAACAAAUAAUAGGAUUAGAUACCCUAGUAUUUUGAGCAGAAAAUGAUGAGUGUCAUAUACAAGAUAUAUGUUUUGUGUAUAAAUGAAAGUGUAAGCACUCCACCUCAAGAGUAACGUGGCAACAUGGGAACUGAAAUCAUUAGACCGUUUCGAAACUCGUAGUGAAGUAUGUUGUUUAAUUUGAUAGUCCUCAAAUAACCUUACCACAAUUUGUAUAACUAUCAUAAGAUAGUUACAAGCGUUGCACGGCUGUCUACAGUCAAUGUUGUGAAACUUUGGUUAGAUCCAUUUAAUUGACGUAAACCCUUACUUUAUUUAAUUUAAAGUAGUUCGCCGCUAUAUUGGUAGUGAUAUAAGG
rnacentral:rRNA from 1 species